UUCCCGGGCCUUGUACACACCGCCCGUCACACCACGAAAGUCGGCAACACCCGAAGCCGGUGGCCUAACCCGCAAGGGAGGGAGCCGUCGAAGGUGGGGUCGAUGAUUGGGGUG
rnacentral:rRNA from 1 species